GUGCCAGCCGCCGCGGUAAUACGUAGGGUGCAAGCGUUAAUCGGAAUUACUGGGCGUAAAGCGUGCGCAGGCGGUUUUGUAAGACAGUCGUGAAAUCCCCGGGCUCAACCUGGGAAUUGCGAUUGUGACUGCAAGGCUGGAGUGCGGCAGAGGGGGAUGGAAUUCCGCGUGUAGCAGUGAAAUGCGUAGAUAUGCGGAGGAACACCGAUGGCGAAGGCAAUCCCCUGGGCCUGCACUGACGCUCAUGCACGAAAGCGUGGGGAGCAAACAGGAUUAGAAACCCCUGUAGUCC
rnacentral:rRNA from 1 species